ACGAACGCUGGCGGCGUGCUUAACACAUGCAAGUCGAACGGAAAGGCCCUGCUUUUGUGGGGUGCUCGAGUGGCGAACGGGUGAGUAACACGUGAGUAACCUGCCCUUGACUUUGGGAUAACUUCAGGAAACUGGGGCUAAUACCGGAUAGGAGCUCCUGCUGCAUGGUGGGGGUUGGAAAGUUUCGGCGGUUGGGGAUGGACUCGCGGCUUAUCAGCUUGUUGGUGGGGUAGUGGCUUACCAAGGCUUUGACGAGUAGCCGGCCUGAGAGGGUGACCGGCCACAUUGGGACUGAGAUACGGCCCAGACUCCUACGGGAGGCAACAGUGGGGAAUAUUGCACAAUGGGCGGAAGCCUGAUGCAGCAACGCCGCGUGCGGGAUGACGGCCUUCGGGUUGUAAACCGCUUUCGCCUGUGACGAAGCGUGAGUGACGGUAAUGGGUAAAGAAGCACCGGCUAACUACGU
rnacentral:rRNA from 1 species